GUCUUAUGUCCCUAUCUCUCCAUCUCUCUCUCUCACAACUACUUCCUCUCAUUCCUCCUCCCUUACGGACGAUUUUGUUGCUCCUAUUCCACCGUUGUACAGCCUGAAAUCCAAAGUCGGCACCCUCUCUUAGCAGGUUUUUUUGUGUCGAUCUCGGUCUCUCUCUAUCGAUCUCAGCCGCCACAAAUCAUAGGUCUCUGUCGAUCUCUGUCCCUCUCUGUCGAUCUCGGCCACAAAUCACAGGUUUCUCUCUAUUGGUCUUUCUCUCCCUCUGUCGAUCUCGGCCACAAAUCACAGGGAGUGGCUGAUCGAGUCUGUCUUCUCUUGCCUACUAGUGAGGGUAGUUGGGUUACUGUUGCAAGGGCAUUGAGGUGUUUUACUCUGAUUAUUUUAUAGUUCGUACCUCUUGAUGACUUUUUCAUUCCUUGCACCUUAAUAUUAUACAUUUCUACGCCAUGCUACUUUUUUGGGUUUAAACUUCUUUCACAAAGUGUUCAAAUGACCGCUGAAAUUUGAAUUUCAUUCAAUGUAUGUGUUCUAUCCUCCCAAAACUACUUUGUUGUUAGCCUAACAACUUUGCCUUUGCAGUGGACCAUGUUAUUGUAUCUUGGGUUUGUCUUUUCUUGGAUUUCAGAGGUGCAUAAUCUUCUUAUUCAUACCCUCCAUAUUAGUUUACAUAGGUCAUUUGUCCUUUAAUUUCCUUUUUCCAGUUGUAAUUUAUGUGAUUAUGUGAUUUUGAAAUUCAUUUAAGCGUUGAUAGAAUUGUUUCUGUGUUAUUUUAAUGUUUUGUGGCUGAAUCUAUGUUGCCCCAGUUGCUCUCUAUAGGCUUGGUAGGUAAAGGAAAAUUUUGCUUGUUUAUGUGCUGAGGCAAUUUAUUGCCUUUUGUAAAUAUUUGUGUUGAUAAGAAGAGUUUAAAUUUGGCUCAGUUGAUUGAUGUUGGACAAUCUUCACUGUACU